CAGGCCUAACACAUGCAAGUCGAACGCACCGCAAGGUGAGUGGCAGACGGGUGAGUAACACGUGGGAACGUACCCCUUUGUCUGGAAUAACCCUGGGAAACUAGGGCUAAUACCGGAUACGGCCGGAAGGCGAAAGGUUUACUGCAGAGGGAUCGGCCCGCGUCCGAUUAGCUUGUUGGUGGGGUAAUGGCCUACCAAGGCUUCGAUCGGUAGCUGGUCUGAGAGGAUGACCAGCCACAUUGGGACUGAGACACGGCCCAAACUCCUACGGGAGGCAGCAGUGGGGAAUAUUGGACAAUGGGCGCAAGCCUGAUCCAGCAAUGCCGCGUGGGUGGAGAAGGUCCUCGGAUUGUAAAGCCGUUUCGGCGGGGACGAUGAUGACGGUACCCGCAGAAGAAGCCCCGGCUAACUUCGUGCCAGCAACCGCGUAA
rnacentral:rRNA from 1 species